AGAUUGAACGCUGGCGGCAUGCUUUACACAUGCAAGUCGAACGGCAGCGCGGGGCAACCUGGCGGCGAGUGGCGAACGGGUGAGUAAUAUAUCGGAACGUACCCAAGAGUGGGGGAUAACGUAGCGAAAGUUACGCUAAUACCGCAUACGAUCUAAGGAUGAAAGCAGGGGACCGCAAGGCCUUGUGCUCCUGGAGCGGCCGAUAUCUGAUUGGCUAGUUGGUAGGGUAAAGGCCUACCAAGGCUACGAUCAGUAGCUGGUCUGAGAGGACGACCAGCCACACUGGAACUGAGACACGGUCCAGACUCCUACGGGAGGCAGCAGUGGGGAAUUUUGCACAAUGGGCGAAAGCCUGGAUGCAGCGACGCCGCGUGAGGGAUGA
rnacentral:rRNA from 1 species